rnacentral:rRNA from 1 species
AGAGUUUGAUCAUGGCUCAGGACGAACGCUGGCGGCGUGCCUAAUACAUGCAAGUCGAGCGACAUUUGAGAGCUUGCUCUCAAAUGUUAGCGGCGGACGGGUGAGUAACACGUGGGCAACCUGCCUAUAAGACUGGGAUAACUUCGGGAAACCGGAGCUAAUACCGGAUAAUUCACAUNUACUCAUGUAGAUGUGCUGAAAGACGGUUUACGCUGUCACUUAUAGAUGGGCCCGCGGCGCAUUAGCUAGUUGGUGAGGUAACGGCUCACCAAGGCCACGAUGCGUAGCCGACCUGAGAGGGUGAUCGGCCACACUGGGACUGAGACACGGCCCAGACUCCUACGGGAGGCAGCAGUAGGGAAUNUUCCGCAAUGGACGAAAGUCUGACGGAGCAACGCCGCGUGAGUGAUGAAGGUUUUCGGAUCGUAAAACUCUGUUGUUAGGGAAGAACAAGUACCAGAGUAACUGCUGGUACCUUGACGGUACCUA